CCCUUAGAUGUCCUGGGCCGCACGCGUGCUACACUGAUGCAUACAGCGAGUACUUUCCAGCUCCGCGAGGCAGCUGGUAAUCAGCAAUAUGCAUCGUGCUGGGGAUAGAUCUUUGGAAUUAUAGAUCUUGAACGAGGAAUUCCUAGUAAGCGCAAGUCAUUAGCUUGUGCUGAUUAAGUCCCUGCCCUUUGUACACACCGCCCGUCGCUCCUACCGAUUUCGAGUGAUUCGGUGAACCUUUUGGACAGCGUCUGUCCUCGUGUCAGAUGCUGAAAGUCAAGUAAACCAUAUCACUUAGAGGAAGGAGAAGUCGUAACA
rnacentral:rRNA from 1 species